rnacentral:rRNA from 1 species
CAGUAGCCGCGGUAAUACGUAGGGUGCGAGCGUUAAUCGGAAUUACUGGGCGUAAAGCGUGCGCAGGCGGUUAUAUAAGACAGAUGUGAAAUCCCCGGGCUCAACCUGGGACCUGCAUUUGUGACUGUAUAGCUAGAGUACGGUAGAGGGGGAUGGAAUUCCGCGUGUAGCAGUGAAAUGCGUAGAUAUGCGGAGGAACACCGAUGGCGAAGGCAAUCCCCUGGACCUGUACUGACGCUCAUGCACGAAAGCGUGGGGAGCAAACAGGAUUAGAUACCCCGGUAGUCCCUGUCUCUUAUAA